UGCACGCUGGCGGCGUGCCUAAUACAUGCAAGUCGAGCGACCGGACGAGAAGCUUGCUUCUCUGAUGUUAGCGGCGGACGGGUGAGUAACACGUGGAUAACCUACCUAUAAGACUGGGAUAACUUCGGGAAACCGGAGCUAAUACCGGAUAAUAUUUUGAACCGCAUGGUUCAAAAGUGAAAGACGGUCUUGCUGUCACUUAUAGAUGGAUCCGCGCUGCAUUAGCUAGUUGGUAAGGUAACGGCUUACCAAGGCAACGAUGCAUAGCCGACCUGAGAGGGUGAUCGGCCACACUGGAACUGAGACACGGUCCAGACUCCUACGGGAGGCAGCAGUAGGGAAUCUUCCGCAAUGGGCGAAAGCCUGACGGAGCAACGCCGCGUGAGUGAUGAAGGUCUUCGGAUCGUAAAACUCUGUUAUUAGGGAAGAACAUAUGUGUAAGUAACUGUGCACAUCUUGACGGUACCUAAUCAGAAAGCCACGGCUAACUACGUG
rnacentral:rRNA from 1 species